GUGAACGCUGGCGGUAGGCCUAACACAUGCAAGUCGCACGGCAGCACAGGAGAGCUUGCUCUCUGGGUGGCGAGUGGCGGGCGGGUGAGGAAUACAUCGGAAUCUGCCCAGUCGUGGGGGAUAACGUAGGGAAACUUACGCUAAUACCGCAUACGACCUUCGGGUGAAAGAGGGGGAUCGCAAGACCUCUCGCGAUUGGAUGAGCCGAUGUCGGAUUAGCUAGUUGGCGGGGUAAUGGCCCACCAAGGCGACGAUCCGUAGCUGGUCUGAGAGGAUGAUCAGCCACACUGGAACUGAGACACGGUCCAGACUCCUACGGGAGGCAGCAGUGGGGAAUAUUGGACAAUGGGCGCAAGCCUGAUCCAGCCAUACCGCGUGGGUGAAGAAGGCCUUCGGGUUGUAAAGCCCUUUUGUUGGGAAAGAAAUCUUUCAGGCUAAUACCCUGGGAGGAUGACGGUACCCAAAGAAUAAGCACCGGCUAACUUCGU
rnacentral:rRNA from 1 species